GGCAAUGUGGCUUGGUGGUAGAGUGCUUGCCUUGCAUGCAUGAAGCCCUGGGUUCAAUUCCUCAGUACCA
rnacentral:tRNA from 1 species